UAUUGAAUAAUGUCUGGCAGGAGGCUGUUGCUGGCCCAAUAAUGUGGCAUGUGCACGCCUCUAUAAAAGUCAGUUUUGAGUUACAUUUUCCUGUGCAUUUUUGUAGACACUUUGGAUUGAGGAACUGUGUUGGUUUCUUGCUGUGAAUAUCAAGGUGUCUAUGCUUUUUAAUCAAUACAAAGCAUGUAUCAGAAUGGUUAUUGAUAAUGAAUAAAGUUGAAUACAACUUUCAACAAUGGAUCUCUUGGCUCUCGCAUCGAUGAAGAACGCAGCGAAAUGCGAUAAGUAAUGUGAAUUGCAGAAUUCAGUGAAUCAUCGAAUCUUUGAACGCAUCUUGCGCUCCUUAGUAUUCUGAGGAGCAUGCCUGUUUGAGUGUCAUUAAAUUCUCAAAAUCCUCUCUGUUUGUGAGGCAUUUUGGACAUUGGGAGUUGCAGGUUUAUGAAGCCAGCUCUCCUCAAAUGAAUUAGCAGGGAAAUAUGGGAAUUUCUCCGUUGGUGUGAUAAACUGUUUACACCAUGAAAUGAAGUCCCUGUACAAUCUCUACUUUCUAAAGCAUUUCUGUCCUAGAGAUAGUAAUGGGCUGGUUUGGUUGACUUG
rnacentral:misc_RNA from 1 species